UCUAUAGUUAUACUGUGCCUGGUUUGAUCCUGUCGUGACAGCAUAUGAAAAUAUGUUCUUGUAAAUAUCUUAGACGUGUAUAACUUAAAUAAACGCGGUAUUGUUUUCAUGUACCGCGUUUUAAUGACUGUAUACGUUUCGCAAGACAAACACUCAUGUUGACAGAAUAUAUCAGUUAUUUCGUAGUUCGUAUGAAUUACUCGUGACAGAUCUGUCAUAUUUUUGUAACAGAACAUUUCGUCCGAUCUGAUCGCAGGAUUUCUUGUAAACUUAUAUACGAAGUAACGAAUGUAGGUGACUCACGUACAACUGGUGAAAAUACUUCAAACGCAGAAUUGUUUGUAAUAUUUAAUUAAUAAAGGAAAAAAUAUUAAAAUAGUUAAAGUAACUCGCAAAAUAGGAAAAUAAAAAUCCGAACUACAGAUGGCAGUGUUGUUUACUUAUCUCAAUGUUUCGGCCUGAACCAUUCUUCGUGAUACGAUAGUAUGCGAAUAGUUGAGCUAAAUAUCAACACUGCCAUCUAUUGUUUGACUUCGCAUUUAUUUUUUCUCAAAAAUACUCGUGCUGUCAUGGCUCAUCAAGCAUCUUAUGUCGCAAUAACUUCCUGUUUUGACGCCACUUUCAACAGUAACGUCAAAAAUAGAUAAUACAAUCGGACUUGCGCAAAACGUAUAAUUCUAAUUUAUAAAUACACGCGUUUCUAGGGCUGGUUGCUUAGCAACGUUUCCGGGGGGGUGCAUAAUCUGAACGUUUGAAUUUGUAUUGUCUUUCUUGUAAUUUUAUAAUUAUAAUUCCCCAGUGAACAACUAUUGAAGCGAAGUUUGGAUGUAUGCGAAGUGUUUGUGUGUGUGUACAGUGUAUUCAUACAAACUAAGUAUUCACGACGUAAAAGCUUCAGCUCCACGAGGGAAGUCUUCUUUCUCAAAGGACAUCUAACACUCUAGGGAGACCCAGUUUCUAUAUUAAUAAAAGCGAGUGUAUGCCCAAAGAACCCUGUUUGCCGUAUAUUUCCGAGGCGGGGAUCAAAGAGCCAAUCAACGCGCUUUUACAUGUGAAACCGCUGCUCUAUUAUCAAGCGCACAAGAAGAUUCUCUUAUACAUGGCUAGAGCUCCGAUCCCUUCAACUAUUAAGUAAUCAACUUGGCUCUAGAACGGAUCUACAUGGAAUCCAGAAACUACGCAGAAAACGACAAUAGUUUUGGAAGUGAAGAGCGUCCAGCGUGGUUUAGGGGCGGUUUGUACCGAUUCAGGGCAAAGUUCGUUAAAGGUAACUACUUUGAGUCGGUACGAAUCACUUCAGCCGCGACUUUUCGUCGAGAUGAAAAUAGAACACAAAGAACAGGAUUGGAGCCUCAACCCACAUUAAAGAUCCUUGUACAGGACCUGCGGUGGCCUUUAUUAACUCAUUUCAUGCCUUUGGCCUCUGGUCACUUCUGUCAUUAUGUAUGGAUUUCAAAAAUAUUAAAACGGUAGUCACUUA